AGGUAGACGCUGCUCCCACGUGGAGACCCAGGCCGGACAGCUCUGUCAAGGCAGCUCUGACGGUAGCUGCCGUCCCGGGGGAAAAAAAAAAGUGUGCCUGACCUUUCCCAUCCUCCUGAUGAUGUUAACAAAGGACAGCCACUGAGGCACAAAAGGAAGCUUUCCACAGGUCAAGCACUACCAGCCACAGUCUGGACACGGAAUCCCCAGCAGCUCCAGUGAUCAAGGUCACAGAUGGAUGUUAAGUACAGAAGAUGGCAGCUGUGCAGUCCAGAAAAUACCCACAAUGUGAUUUAAUGUGCUGAGCUGUACCACUGCAAUGCCACAGAAAGGAUUCGAUGGAGAGGCACAGGCUGUGGAUGCCUGGAUAUUCCAUGUGAAAAAGAACAUUCACAUACCAACCCAGGGCCCUGCAGCAGGCGCUCUGUGUUCACAUGCUAGGCUCAUUUGCCAGGCUCUGAACUUGUUCUCCCAAUCCACCUCACAGUCCCUCUUGCUUUUGGAAACAAAACCUGAGGGGAACAAAAGGAACCUGCAGCCGGCCAUGUCUCUUGGGAGUUAUAGCUGUCUUCAAGAAUGACUCAGUUUUACACCUUACAAGAUACCUGGGAAAUUGCUGAGUGAAGGUGAAGUUGUGAGAGUAUAAAAAAAUUUCCACUGUAAUAUUCACAGAUUUCUCCACAGGCUCUCCAAGAGGUCAAGGAGGCCCCAUCAAGUAUAAUUCUGCUAAUCUCAGAGUGGAGGCACUGCACAAAUCCACAGAAACCCCAGAGAUCAAACUUCAAAGGCUCACAGGACCUGAUUCAAGACAGAUUGUACACCAGGCAAACUACUUGCUCCCUUGUACUUGGCUGUGCAAAACCUAGUCUUUUCUCUGGCUAGCCCCUCCUUGUACAGAACAGGCACCACAAAAUUAUUUUUCUGGCCUCAGACUCCCAGAUCUUCAAGGUUGGGUUCUCUAGCAAGUGGAAACAGGCAAGGGGAAGCACACCCUAUACUCCUGCUCCUAGACAUACUAUCAGUAACCAAAAAAAACAACUUGUGCAAACCAAGUCCCUGGGCCAGUAAGGCCAAUGCCCUUAGAGGGGCCAUGCUGAACUCUGAAUCUGAUAUUUACGAGAAGUGCAGCAAGACAGUGUCAGGUAUGGCCACAUGUGACCCCGGUCAGAGUUAUGCCAUUUGAUAUUGACAUAAAAGGAGGGAUAAAGGUAGAGCAAAUUUACUUUGGGCAACAAUUGUGCUCGCUUUGGCAGUACAUAUACUUUGGGCAAUAAUUUCCUUCAAAAUUGGAUGUCUAACUUGAGACAAAAAGAAGCACCAUGCUGAACCACUGUCCCCUGUUUGGAGGGCUAUAAGCCCACUAAAACUACAAUAGGUUCUGGCCUCAGUAGCCAGAUCCAGGUAACCCUUACCUUCAAGAACAAAGUUGAACCCACAGAAAGGAGACUCUGUUCUUUCUCUUUAUUGCCCAAGAAAGGCAGGAGGCAUUAUGUGAUUCCCUGUGCUCCAUGCCUGUCAUGCAGGCUAACUCAGUCCGUCCCCACCAUCUGCCACCCAUGCUCCUCCCUUGAGACUCUAGCUGUGGCCAAACACGUGAAGCUGGAAAGCAGAGGCAGACAUUCUGAGGCAGGAUGGCUAGGCAGUAUAUGUUACAUUCUAAAUAAAAUAGCUAGAGGUGAAAACACUCCAAUGCCAAUUUAUUUUUUAAAAGGGCGUUGCGUUAUCCUAUUAUUUGCCUUUUUUUUUUAAUAAUUAUACAACCUUUGAAAAUUACAUAAGUUGUAAUGAUCUAAUUCUAUUAAUAGCCAUUCAGAAAAAAACAUUCCCUCCCUCCCAACAACCAUCCAGGGGGGAUUAAAAGUCCUGAAAAGAGGUCAAACCAACAUGGCCUCUACCCUGGUAGAAACAAAAAGCAAAAGAUGAGAAGAAAACAGAAAUCAACUAAGAGAUGUGCUGCCAAUGUCUCUCAGGAGUGGGGCCCUGGCUGCAACCUGGGUUGUAAAAGGCAGAGCCUGCAGCAUGCAGUAUGGCCGCCGGGAGACCUUGGAGCCACAUCUUCACCCCGGCACAUCCAUGUUCCGACUUAAGUAUCAUGGAAAUCCUUUAGCAGGGUUCUCCUUCGCUGCUCUGCUAUGUGCAUCUGGUUCUCCAAGUCCUAUACGAGGGAAGCAAGAUGAGUGC